rnacentral:rRNA from 1 species
CGGAGGUACUCGAGUGGCGAACGGGUGAGUAACACGUGGGUGAUCUGCCCUGCACUUCGGGAUAAGCUUGGGAAACUGGGUCUAAUACCGGAUAGGACCGCACUUUAGUGUGUGUGGUGGAAAGUUUUUUCGGUGUAGGAUGAGCUCGCGGCCUAUCAGCUUGUUGGUGGGGUAAUGGCCUACCAAGGCGGCGACGGGUAGCCGGCCUGAGAGGGUGUACGGCCACAUUGGGACUGAGAUACGGCCCAG